CUCCAGAGAUGCCGAGAACGGCUGGUCGUCGGAAGAAUCGACCAACGCCUUUGGUGAAAAGAAUGAAACGCUGUGUCUACAUAAGAUCGAAUCCAUCCUACUACAGGAACACCCACGCAAUACCUUUCAUAGAUCACAUUUUGGUAGAGUGGGACCUCCGAUAUUCUGGUUGCCAUGGUGACAUAGAUGGAGGACCUUACAUACAGAACAUUGACGGAGGUGUUUUCAGAUUUGGAGCAUAGAGGGUUGUGUCUCAGUGGUAACGAUCAAAACCAUACAAAGAUGCAUACAGAUUGUAGAUGGACGUGUUCUCAGAUUGGAGCAUAUCUGAUGUGUUGUGCUUUAAAAAGAUAGUGUUCUGAGGCAAAGAUCAAGAACAUACAUACAUAUCAUGGACGAUGAUGGACGAAGGUGUUGUUAGAUCUGGACCAUAAAUGAUUUUACACAUGUCUUUGUGUAAAUAUACACAGAACAGGGUUACCAUGGAAAUGUACCUCUACAUCUAGCCAGAGAUAAAUGGAUGACCGACGUCUAAGUCACCGAACAGCAGUGAGAGAAAUACUGCAACCGAUCACGUGACAAACGCUUAGUUUUGAAUAGCAUAAGCCUUGCUAAGAUCUGUACAUAAAUUCAGAUAGCUGAGACGUACCAUGAAUGUGCAGACGACAAGUAAAAGGUGCAGACGACAUCUGGAUUUUCCCAAACUGAUGGCUGAUGUUGAAUACAAGCACAUGUGAAGAUAUAAUGUUGUAGAUAUCGCAAUGGUUUAGCGGACGGUGCAGCUAUGGUAACUAAUGUUGACUUCACAAGCACUGCAAGGAAGUCUUGUUGUAGAUUUCACAAUGGUUUAGUGGAUUGUGCAGCUUGGUCGUUUUUCUAGGGCACAACGGGAAAGCUAAGGUCGACAUUUCUCCCAGAGUGACUCAAGAGUUUCGGGCAUGCGCAUACAGUUUCUGGCUUUGGUGAUUGUAAAGCUCGAAGUAUUUGGUGAGAAACUAUCCAACGAAGGACACAAACCAUCUGACGAGUAGCAGUUUCCUAGAUCAUACACGAAGAAACUUUUAGUUAAUGGAACUACAAUUGCCACAGGCCUGCCUUGCUGGUACCAUAAAGCUGCCGAUAAACAGAGGUGAACUUGUACCUUUCGAUACCGGUCACCAGAGACGCACUGGUACCCUAUCGAUGCCGAUCAUCAGAGGUGUGCUGGACCCCUUAUGUCAUGAUGUUAACAUAUUGAUCAGGUAUUUUCAACCAGCACUGAUCGAUGGUUUUAAUGGAAUUCAAAGCUUGAUGGACAUAUCGUCUGUAUUUGUCCUGUCGUACUCACGGUAAAGAGCUCUUCAACACCUUUUGCACAAAAAAAAAAAAUCCUGGAUGGCCGGGCAGACGAAGACUUCAGUCAGGUAAAGAUAUAUUAUUUUAUAACGUUUGUCCAGUUAGUUUGAAAGUUAUUUGUAUGCAGAUUGUAAAAUGAUAAAGUUCCAUAAACAUGGUAGACGGUAUUGCGGCAAAAAUAUUCUGGCAAGUAUGUAUUAUAUAAAUAAUAUUGCCACAAAAAUAUCUGACACAAUGUGCUCACACAGACUGGCAAAUAUGGAAAAUGUUAACGAUAAGAGGGGAUUUUGACCGUCACGGUGGUAUCUGGUGAGGUUCAGGUACUGGUUAGAAACCAGUUCGCAAAAUUAUGAGAAUAAAUAAGACCUCUAUUACUACUCUAUGUAAAUUAAUUCAGUUUUACCUGAACGUAGAGCUACUUUAAAUCAGUGAACAGUUCAUUCUGAAAUUCAGACCAUAUUUGAACUUAGGCUAUGUCACCAACAGACUGAUAUCCGAGAAAAUACAAAUUGUUGUUACAUGCUCAUUUCUUUUCCCCGUUAAGUUACAAUGGUACC